UGCGACUCUCCCAUACCUUCCUCAAAUCUGCCUAUACCCAUGCUGUCAUCUCUAGACUGAUCAAUCUCCAUAGCUUCCCUCCUUUCCUCUGAUCUUCCUCCCCUAGCUGUUCCUCUUCUGCUCUCGUCGACAGACCUUCUAGGGUCUAUUGACGUACCUUCCCUGCUAGAUCUCUGCGACCUUGCCCUUGGCAAUGCAGGAGGACGAGCAGCUGGUCUCUCACUCUCUGGUGGGACUCCAGUCAAUCGAGCUGAUCGACGAGUUCCUCUCAUC
rnacentral:lncRNA from 1 species